UGGAGGUGAUGAACUGUCUUGGC
rnacentral:piRNA from 1 species